AAAGUCAGGAUUUCCAGGAAGGCCUAGCUCAGCUCACCUCUGGAAAGGUCUCCAAGCUGUGUGAUCUGGGGAAUCGUGGAGGGGUUUUGAGCUCAGGUGUCUUCUGCCAGCUGGACUCUGAGACCCUGGCCUGCUGGGGCGAGGAUGAGGCUCUGAUGUGGUCUGGUCAACUCUGGGUUGGCCAUCUGCACCACAGGGCUCUAACAAGGGCCUGCUAUAGGCCAUGAGAACCACUGUAAGUGUCCUUGUUCGGCAAAUACUUACUCAUCCCCUGCUGUAUGCCCGGCAAUGUUCCAGGCACAGGAAUUCAUCGGAGAGCUAGAGAGGACAAGAUGUUGUCAUGGAGCUGCAGCAACUGAACGAAAAACCAUGAGAGCCCACGGAGGGCUUUGGAAGGGAUGAGGGAUGGCCUUUUCGAAGAGAGGCACUGGAGUUGAAACCUGAAUGGGACAAGAUCAGGUGGAAGAGGCUUCCAGACAGAGGGGGCAGCUCUGUCAAAAGGUCCCAAAGAAGGAGAAAUCUCAAUGUGUUUAAGAAACAGGUGGGGCUUCUGCCUCACACUCAUUCUAAAACCUUCAACCCCACAGCUUCUGCUUUAGGCAAUGGGGACACCUGGGAAACACAGUAAGUUUCUGCUCCCCGGAACACUAAGUCCUCACGUGGGAAUCCCAACAAAGAUGGCUCAGAAAAUGAAGGGACACCUGAAACCAGGGCUGGGAGGGGUGGGAUCCUGCUCUUGCUCCUGUCAAUUGGGCGGUCCAAGGAGGCUUCUCAAGCAACACUGAGCGGAGGCCUAGGGACACAAGCUGUGCAGGCACCUAGGGAAGAAAUGGUGUCAAGGAGCCCAUCUCCAUUUUAGAAAGACAGAGAUGCGUUCUGGGCCGUUGCCCGGGAAAGAAUGUCUACCAGGACAGUUCUGAGAAGGCUCAGCAUCAUAUCUAAACACAGGAAAGGAAUUCCCUGUUGGAAAAUUCAGGAUGACAACUGUGGGUAGCAAGCCAAGGCAAAGGGCAGAACGUGGAGCAGCAUUUGAGGCUCCAGCCAAUUCCAGCCUGUCUGCAGGCACUGCCUGCCUCCACGGCUGUCAGGUGUCGCCCCCAGGAGCUACGUAGGGCGAAGCUAGGCAGGCUUUCAGUGCCAGCUGUGGUUUCCCCAACAGCUCACAGGCCAGAGGCCCCGCCCAGGCCACCUCCUCCAGUCCCCCUGCCGCGGGGUGGUCUUCGGUGGUCUCACUCUCCCUCCCACUGCAUUUCCAUCUCUGCUGUAAUAUACCACCUCAGCCCUUCCUUUUUGAUUCCCAAGAGCAAAUUUUGG
rnacentral:lncRNA from 1 species